rnacentral:rRNA from 1 species
AUUGAACGCUGGCGGCAGGCUUAACACAUGCAAGUCGAGCGGAGCGAAGGUGCUUGCACCUUAGCUUAGCGGCGGACGGGUGAGUAAUGCUUAGGAAUCUGCCUAUUAGUGGGGGACAACGUUUCGAAAGGAGCGCUAAUACCGCAUACGUCCUACGGGAGAAAGCAGGGGAUCUUCGGACCUUGUGCUAAUAGAUGAGCCUAAGUCGGAUUAGCUAGUUGGUGGGGUAAAGGCCUACCAAGGCGACGAUCUGUAGCGGGUCUGAGAGGAUGAUCCGCCACACUGGGACUGAGACACGGACCAGACUCCUACGGGAGGCAGCAGUGAGGAAUAUUGGGCAACGGGCGCAAGCCUGACCCAGCCAUGCCGCGUGAAGGAUGAAUGCCCUAUGGGUUGUAAACUUCUUUUGUACGGGACGAAACUCCUGGUCGUGACCGGGAUUGACUGUACCGUGCGAAUAAGCAUCGGCUAACUCCGUGCCAGCCGCCGCAGUAAGAC